CCGCCGCCGCCGCCGCCGGCAGCACCCUCCCACGGCUGGGUCAAGGACACUCUCAUCGGCUGGGGCGUGCCCGGUCUGGCCAGUGACCCGCUGACUGCCCUGCUGCACCGGUCCUCGGAGCGGCCGCGACCUCUGGCGCCGGUGGCCGGCAGCCGCUCGCCGGCCGUUCUGCGCCGGGGCAGGGAGACGCCGGCCUGCUCCACCUGCCAGGAGGUCACAGCCCGGGGGCACGCCGCCCUCUCCGAGAAACUGUCGCCGCGGCUGGCGACCGUCGAGCGCGCGCUGCAGCAGCGGAGGACGUCCGAGGCCCGCGCCCGGCCCGGCCUCUCGCUGCCCAACGUACCGGGCGCAGCCGCCAACUCGUCGAAGCAGUCCGGUCGCACCCCCAAAUCGUCCUUCACGCCUUCGUUAACGCACGUGUCCACCCUGGACCUGCUGCGGACUCCCAGCUGCAGUCCCAGUCCGCCGCCGCCCAACCUGCCGCAAGUCUGAGGUUAGCUCACUUUGGUCGGCGGCUCGCAGUCGGCGACAGCCUCGACCCGUCCGUCGCCGUCUGUCGCCUUCAGGAACACACUGAACAGGGGUCGGCGCAGGUCCCUCGACGACGAGCGGCGGCGGAAGCCGUGGUUUUGUGCGCUAUAUAUACAUAUUUUGAUGUGCUUUCAGUGUCCCACGGUUGUGCGAUGAGUCAGCACCACAUGGCGCGGAGCCAUGCCAUGCUGGUGUUGGAAAAUACACAGCGGCAGUUUCCUGC